GACGUAGGGGGCCAGCGUUGCUCGGAAUUACUGGGCGUAAAGGGUGCGCAGGCGGCUCCGCAUGUCGGGCGUGAAAGCCCCGGGCUUAACCCGGGAAUGGCGUCCGAAACUAUGGAGCUGGAGUGUGGCAGAGGGAGGUGGAAUUCCAGGUGUAGCGGUGAAAUGCGUAGAUAUCUGGAGGAACACCGGUGGCGAAGGCGGCUUCCUGGACCGACACUGACGCUGAGGCGCGAAAGCCAGGGGAGCAAACGGG
rnacentral:rRNA from 1 species